CCCAGAAAGUGCAGAAGCCACAGUUGAGCGUCAAUAAAUCGUAACAAUCUUAUGUUUUAGCCAACUAUGAAAACGACGGAAGAGGAGGAAGAGGAGACGGAGCGGGCUAAACUAUUCUCCAAGGCAAAACAAAAAAGUCCCCAAGUUCUCGAGUUCUCAUACGCUUCGCGGCACAGAGAUGUGUGUGUAGUAAGUGUUUGCAACCCCUUUACGGGAGGGGCGGUUUCGUUCCGCGCGCGCACCCGAGUUUAUCGCGCUGUACCCGUACGGGGUGGGCGAGUUUGACCUUCGGUGAGAAUUUAUAGCCAUUUUCCUGUACGCUGUGUCUCGGGGUUACCCCACCGCUUUUGUGCCGGGCAGACAAGGUGAUAUCUUGUGCCGAAGCCGUCUUGCCCAUGCCAUCCAAAAUAGGGCCUCACCCCGCGCAAAGUUCCUGUUCGCACUGCUUCAUCGCUCGAGCGUAAAUGAAUGUGUAAGUGCAAAUUCUUCCCCCGAGUGUCGGAAUAUCUAGCCCACCGAUGUGGAAGAGCAGGCGGUGAAUUGGGUGAUGGGUAAUUUAAUUUCCCGCACUUGUUUUUUUUUUUGCUGUUGUUGACGUUUCCUUGCUUUCGCGCACCAAAGCACCAAACAGAAGCUGCGAUACCGUCAUCAGGCCCCAGAUACCGCAAGACGAUCCUACCGAAACCGUUGCCAGGAAGUUGUCUCCAAGCUGUAGGUCUAUCAAUAGUGGAACCAAAAACCGCACAGUGUGUUCCUGCUGCACGACCCCGUAAUCGUACGGUUGAUGUUUGACUCGAUAGGGGUUAAGGGAUGAUGGUUACGGUCGUCUGGCAGCCAGCCCGCCAGCCAGCCAGCCAGCCAGCCAGCCAGCCAGUGAUUGAUUUUUCCACCGGGGAUACUUUGGGAUGCUUAGCGCACGGCGGGAACAUACAGCCACGUGCCCACAGAUUGGUUGUGAUGGACAGCAGGUGAUGAAGGACAGGGUGCAAUGUGGUCGCGCGAAUGGUUGAGCGUUUUUACUUUUUGCUAGACUUUUUGCUAAUAAAUCACGGCCAUCUUUUUUCGUUCCUCUUACUGAAGCUUCUGAAUAAUGCAGUCGGUGGAUUUGGUGCGGGUGCGGCAUUUUUGAUGGAAUAUUCAGUAAGGUGUUCGACCACGUUCGGCAUUUAAAAGGUAGUAAAAUGCAUUAAAGAACUAGAGAAGAUUGAUGGAAUAUACUGGAACAUAUGCAGUGAAGUGAAU